rnacentral:tRNA from 1 species
GGGGGAUUUCCCGAGUGGUCAAAGGGGACAGACUGUAAAUCUGCUAGCGAUGCUUUCGGAGGUUCGAAUCCUUCAUCCCCCA